UCAUAAUUUUAUCUUUAUCUCCUAACACAGUGCCUGUCACAGAGCAAGAACACACCAAAUAUAUGCUGAAUAACUGCAUGAUUAGACAACUAAAUUACAAGAGAACAUCUUUGUCCAUGAUGACUAUAAUGAAACUCGAUGUUCCUAACCAGCCAGAUGGUGGGCCAGACAGGUGGUGAUCACAACCUAAUCCAUCGAAGACAACGGCAAGUAAAGUUUCUCUGCCAAGCCCAUGAUGGAGGAAAAUGUAAACACGGAAAGUGGGAGAACACUGAAACGAAGCCACUUAUUCCAGUCCAAUCACUCAUGCUAUGUAGCCAUGCAACUUUUAACGUACUUACAGUGCUUUGCAG
rnacentral:lncRNA from 1 species